rnacentral:rRNA from 1 species
AUGCAGUCGAGCGAUCGAUGGGAGCUUGCUCCCUGAGAUUAGCGGCGGACGGGUGAGUAACACGUGGGUAACCUGCCUGUAAGACUGGGAUAACUUCGGGAAACCGGAGCUAAUACCGGAUAAUUUCUUUUCUCGCAUGAGAGAAGAUGGAAAGAUGGUUCUGCUAUCACUUACAGAUGGACCCGCGGCGCAUUAGCUAGUUGGUGAGGUAAUGGCUCACCAAGGCGACGAUGCGUAGCCGACCUGAGAGGGUGAUCGGCCACACUGGGACUGAGACACGGCCCAGACUCCUACGGGAGGCAGCAGUAGGGAAUCUUCCGCAAUGGACGAAAGUCUGACGGAGCAACGCCGCGUGAGCGAAGAAGGCCUUCGGGUCGUAAAGCUCUGUUGUUAGGGAAGAACAAGUACAAGAGUAACUGCUUGUACCUUGACGGUACCUAACCAGAAAGCCACGGCUAACUACGUGCCAGCAGCCGCGGUAAUACGUAGGUGGCAAGCGUUGUCCGGAAUUAUUGGGCGUAAAGCGCGCGCAGGCGGUCCUUUAAGUCUGAUGUGAAAGCCCACGGCUCAACCGUGGAGGGUCAUUGGAAACUGGGGGACUUGAGUGCAGAAGAGGAGAGUGGAAUUCCACGUGUAGCGGUGAAAUGCGUAGAGAUGUGGAGGAACACCAGUGGCGAACGCGACUCUCUGGUCUGUAACUGACGCUGAC